CGGCGAGUGAAGCGGCAAAAGCUCAAAUUUGAAAUCUGGUACCUUCGGUGCCCGAGUUGUAAUUUGGAGAGGGCAACUUUGGGGCCGUUCCUUGUCUAUGUUCCUUGGAACAGGACGUCAUAGAGGGUGAGAAUCCCGUGUGGCGAGGAGUGCGGUUCUUUGUAAAGUGCCUUCGAAGAGUCGAGUUGUUUGGGAAUGCAGCUCUAAGUGGGUGGUAAAUUCCAUCUAAAGCUAAAUAUUGGCGAGAGACCGAUAGCGAACAAGUACAGUGAUGGAAAGAUGAAAAGAACUUUGAAAAGAGAGUGAAAAAGUACGUGAAAUUGUUGAAAGGGAAGGGCAUUUGAUCAGACAUGGUGUUUUGUGCCCUCUGCUCCUUGUGGGUAGGGGAAUCUCGCAUUUCACUGGGCCAGCAUCAGUUUUGGUGGCAGGAUAAAUCCAUAGGAAUGUAGCUUGCCUCGGUAAGUAUUAUAGCCUGUGGGAAUACUGCCAGCUGGGACUGAGGACUGCGACGUAAGUCAAGGAUGCUGGCAUAAUGGUAUAUCCCU
rnacentral:rRNA from 1 species